rnacentral:misc_RNA from 1 species
GAUGAAGAACGUAGCGAAAUGCGAUAAGUAAUGUGAAUUGCAGAAUUCAGUGAAUCAUCGAAUCUUUGAACGCACCUUGCGCCCUUUGGCUAUUCCGAAGGGCAUGCCUGUUUGAGUAUCAUGAACACCUCAACUCUCAUGGUUUGCCAUGAUGAGCUUGGACUCUGGGGGUCUUGCUGGCCUAUGGUCAGCUCCUCUCAAAUAAAUCAGCUUGCCAGUGUUUGGUGGCAUCACAGGUGUGAUAAAUAUCUACGCUUGUGGUUUUCCAUCAGGUAACCUUCAGUGAUGGAGGUUCGCUGGAGCUCAUAAAUGUCCCUCCUCAGCGAGGACAGCUUUUUGAACGUUUGAUCUCAAAUCAGGUAGGACUACCCGCUGAACUUAAGCAUAUCAAUAAGCGGAGGA